AUUGAACGCUGGCGGGAUGCCUUACACAUGCAAGUCGAACGGCAGCACGGACUUCGGUCUGGUGGCGAGUGGCGAACGGGUGAGUAAUGUAUAGGAACGUGCCCAGUAGCGGGGGAUAACUACGCGAAAGCGUAGCUAAUACCGCAUCCGCCCAACGGGUGAAACCCAGGGAUCGCAAGAGAUUGCAGUAUUUGAGCGGCCGUAAACGGAUUAGCUAGUUGGUAGGGUAACGGCUUACCAAGGCGACGAUCCGUAGCUGGUUUGAGAGGACGACCAGCCACACUGGGACUGAGACACGGCCCAGACUCCUACGGGAGGCAGCAGUGGGGAAUUUUGGGCAAUGGGCGAAACCCUGAUCCAGCCAUCCCGCGUGAGUGAUGAAGGUCUUCGGGUUGUAAAGCACUGUUGGCAGGAAAGAAACGUCGCGUGUUAAUCCCUCGCGAAACUGACGGUACCUGCAGAAUAAGCACCGGCUAACUACGUG
rnacentral:rRNA from 1 species